rnacentral:tRNA from 1 species
GCCUUCGUGGUGUAACAGUAAAACCCUCGGCUGGUAUUCGAGAGGUCUAGGGUUCGAGUCCAGGUGAAGGCA